UACGAAGGGUGCAAACGUUGCUCGGAAUUAUUGGGCGUAAAGCGCACGUAGGCGGUAUUGCAAGUCGGAUGUGAAAUCCCUCGGCUUAACCAAGGAAGUGCAUCCGAAACUGCUGUACUUGAGUACGAAAGAGGAUCGCGGAAUUCCCGGUGUAGAGGUGAAAUUCGUAGAUAUCGGGAGGAACACCAGUGGCGAAGGCGGCGAUCUGGGUCGAUACUGACGCUGAGGUGCGAAAGCGUGGGGAGCGAACCGG
rnacentral:rRNA from 1 species